AUAAUUUCUACAGAUCGCAGUCGGCCUUGUGUCGGCGACAGUUCUUUCAAAUGUCUGCCCUAUCAACUUACGAUGGUAGGUAACCUGCCUACCAUGGUGAUAACGGGUAACGGGGAAUCAGGGUUCGAUUCCGGAGAGGGAGCCUGAGAAACGGCUACCACAUCCAAGGAAGGCAGCAGGCGCGCAAAUUACCCACUCCCGGCACGGGGAGGUAGUGACGAAAAAUAACGAUUGCGGGGCUCUAUGAGGAUCCGUAAUCGGAAUGAGUACAGUCUAAAUCCUUUAACGAGGAUCAAUUGGAGGGCAAGUCUGGUGCCAGCAGCCGCGGUAACUCCAGCUCCAAUAGCGUAUAUUAAAGUUGCUGCAGUUAAAAAGCUCGUAGUUGGAUCUUGACGGUACUGCCGCGAGUCGAGUUAUGCUUUCUCUCACUGUUAGCAAUGCUUCUUUGGGAGGGGCUUGCUUCGUCUCGCCGGCGGUGCAGUCUUUCAGCCGUGUCUGUUCUCUUCGGAGCUCAGGUGCUGCCUGAUGGGUGGGCUUGUCCUGUCUGUCAGACGGUACGCACCACGAUCCACUUCAUUGCGUGUCGUGGUGCGGGCGGCAUGUUUACUUUGAACAAAUUUGAGUGCUCAAAGCAGGCCACUGUGUCUGAAAAGUCUUGCAUGGAAUAAUGGAAUAGGACUUCAGUUCUAUUUUGUUGGUUUUCGGAUCUGAAGUAAUGGUUAAGAGAGACAGACGGGGCAUUUGUAUGGCGGUGUUAGAGGUGAAAUUCUUGGAUCGCCGCCAGACAGCCUGAAGCGAAAGCAUUUGCCAGGAAUGUUUUCAUUGACAAAGAGCGAAAGUCAGAGGUUCGAAGACGAUCAGAUACCGUCCUAGUUCUGACCAUAAACGAUGCCGACUGACGAUCCGUGGGGUAAAAUCUUUUUGUCCCCACGGGCAGUCUCCGGGAAACCUUUAAGUCUUUGGGUUCCGGGGGAAGUAUGGUUGCAAAGCUGAAACUUAAAGGAAUUGACGGAAGGGCACCACCAGGAGUGGAGCCUGCGGCUUAAUUUGACUCAACACGGGAAAACUCACCCGGCCCGGACACUGUGAGGAUUGACAGAUUGACAGCUCUUUCAUGAUUCAGUGGUUGGUGGUGCAUGGCCGUUCUUAGUUGGUGGAGCGAUUUGUCUGGUUAAUUCCGAUAACGAACGAGACUCUAUUCUGCUAAAUAGUACUCCCGUAACUGGUGGAAUUGUUCUGGCCAUGUUUAACUGCAUUUCAUGUGGGAGAUCGUGGCUCAGGCAUUUUACUGCGCGGGUGAAACUUCUUAGAGAGACAAGUUGCUUUAGCAAUACGAAAUUGAGCAAUAACAGGUCUGUGAUGCCCUUAGAUGUCCGGGGCCGCACGCGCGCUACAAUGACGG
rnacentral:rRNA from 1 species